CUGCUCUACGUAUUUGAAACUUGAAGUUGUCUGAUUUCAGUGAGUGGCUCUUACAAAUGGGAUCUCUAGCGAAGGUGGGGUCUGUAGAAGCACUGGGAAGACCAGGUCCUGCUGCGUUGAUGGCGAUGACUCUGAACAGCCAGUAGCCGGUGAUGGGAGUGCCACCAUCGUCCUCAGGCUCCUCCCAGUUAAUGGUCAUGGAGUCCAAAGUGAUGUUGCUGAUGGUCGGCUUCUCACACUGACCAGGGACAGCUGCAGCCGGACAGACGUCUGACAAUCAAAAUCCAUCUUAAACUUUAACUUACUGAAGAGGUUUCGGGCGACCUCAGGCUCGCUGUCCAGUGGCUCUCCAACUCCAUAUUUAUUCUGCGCCAUGAUGCGAAACACAUACUCGUGUCCUUGCAUCAGAU